CCUACGGGAGGCAGCAGUGAGGAAUAUUGGUCAAUGGGCUUACGCCUGAACCAGCCAAGUCGCGUGAAGGAAGACUGCCCUAUGGGUUGUAAACCUCUUUUGUCAGGGAGCAACGCCGGCUACGUGUAGCCGGACUGAGAGUACCUGAAGGAAAAACAUCGGCUAACUCCUUGCCAGCAGCCGCGGUAAUACGGAGGAUGCGAGCGUUAUCCGGGUUUAGUGGGGUUAAAGGGUGCGUAGGCGGAAUGCCAAGUCAGCGGUAAAAUCGCGGGGCUCAACCUCGCUCCGCCGUUGAAACUGGCGUUCUUGAGUGGGCGAGAAGUAUGCGGAAUGCGUGGUGUAGCGGUGAAAUGCAUAGAUAUCACGCAGAACUCCGAUUGCGAAGGCAGCAGACCGGCGCCCAACUGACGCUGAAGCACGAAAGCGUGGGUAUCGAACAGGAUUAGAUACCCUUGUAGUC
rnacentral:rRNA from 1 species